rnacentral:rRNA from 1 species
AUGGCUCAGGAUGAACGCUAGCGACAGGCUUAACACAUGCAAGUCGAGGGGCAGCAUAAAAGUAGCAAUACUUGGUGGCGACCGGCGCACGGGUGAGUAACGCGUAUGCAACCUACCUAUCAGAGGGGAAUAACCCGGCGAAAGUCGGACUAAUACCGCAUAAAACAGGGGCACCGCAUGGUGAUAUUUGUUAAAGAAAUUCGCUGAUAGAUGGGCAUGCGUUCCAUUAGGUAGUUGGUGAGGUAACGGCUCACCAAGCCGACGAUGGAUAGGGGAACUGAGAGGUUGGUCCCCCACACUGGUACUGAGACACGGACCAGACUCCUACGGGAGGCAGCAGUGAGGAAUAUUGGUCAAUGGGCGGGAGCCUGAACCAGCCAAGUCGCGUGAAAGGAAGAAGGAUCUAUGGUUCGUAAACUUCUUUUGCAGGGGAAUAAAGUGCAGGACGUGUCCUGUUUUGUAUGUACCCUGAGAAUAAGGAUCGGCUAACUCCGUGCCAGCAGCCGC